rnacentral:rRNA from 1 species
CCUACGGGCGGCUGCAGUGGGGAAUAUUGCGCAAUGGGGGAAACCCUGACGCAGCAACGCCGCGUGAGUGACGAAGGCCUUCGGGUCGUAAAGCUCUGUCGGAGGGGAAGAAACUAUCUAUGGCUAACAUCCAUAGGUAUUGACGGUACCCUCAAAGGAAGCACCGGCUAACUCCGUGCCAGCAGCCGCGGUAAUACGGAGGGUGCAAGCGUUGUUCGGAAUUACUUGGCGUAACUCGCGUGUAGGGUGCGAAAGCACUCGGCCUAACCGAGGAAGUGCGCCUGAAACUGAUUGGCUUGAGUACGAGAGAGGAGGACGGAAUUCCCAGUGUAGAGGUGAAAUUCGUAGAUAUUGGGAGGAACACCGGUGGCGAAAGCGGUUCUCUGGAUCGAUACUGACGCUAAGACGCGAAAGCGUGGGGAGCAAACAGGAUUAGAUACCCCAGUAGUC